rnacentral:rRNA from 1 species
AUUGAACGCUGGCGGCAGGCCUAACACAUGCAAGUCGAGCGGAUGAAGGGAGCUUGCUCCUGGAUUCAGCGGCGGACGGGUGAGUAAUGCCUAGGAAUCUGCCUGGUAGUGGGGGAUAACGUCCGGAAACGGGCGCUAAUACCGCAUACGUCCUGAGGGAGAAAGUGGGGGAUCUUCGGACCUCACGCUAUCAGAUGAGCCUAGGUCGGAUUAGCUAGUUGGUGGGGUAAAGGCCUACCAAGGCGACGAUCCGUAACUGGUCUCAGAGGAUGGUCAGUCACACUGGAACUGAGACACGGUCCAGACUCCUACGGGAGGCAGCAGUGGGGAAUAUUGGACAAUGGGCGAAAGCCUGAUCCAGCCAUGCCGCGUGUGUGAAGAAGGUCUUCGGAUUGUAAAGCACUUUAAGUUGGGAGGAAGGGCAGUAAGUUAAUACCUUGCUGUUUUGACGUUACCAACAGAAUAAGCACCGGCUAACUUCGUG